AGAAAAUUAGUUAAAUUUAUAACAUUAAUAUGUCAUAUUAAAAUUAUUAUUAUUUUAAUAUUUUCUA
rnacentral:tRNA from 1 species